AGUGAAUUAGGUUAAGUAAACCUUUAGCCUUCAAAGCUUAGAUUGGGGAAACCCAUUCACUA
rnacentral:tRNA from 1 species